UCUUGUGCUCCCAAGGGAGGCUGGCAGGCACCACGGCAACUUGCACUCAGGGUAGACUCUGGCCUGCACUCAGCAGGAGAGGAGAGAGGGCGGCACGGUCAUCCCAUGAAAUCUUUGCCAGGACUUGAGGAGCAGGAAGGGCGGAUGAAAACCGCCUCCUUCCCCUUCCCUGUCCUGUGGGUCCCAAUGGUGAGAUGACAUCCAUACAGGUCCGCCCCUCCUGGGAUCCGCCCAAGGCCUGGUCUUUGACCUGCAUUCUAACAUAGGACCCACUUCUGUUCACCCUCAGAGGACAGCUGAGAGCCCUCUCUGGGGACAGAGCAAACUCGGGAGCUGGGGGUGACAGAGGACACCCCCGCCAAUACCUAGGUGGCACUGAAUGGGUGAAUUCUCACCCCCUGCCUGGUAGAGGGGUAAAAUCUGGGAAUUCCCCUGGAAUUUCCUGGAAGGGUUCAUCAGCCUUCCCCCAUCGGCUCUGGUCCCUGUUGGGGCCUCAGUGGGUUCCAGAACUGACAGACAGUGCGGGUGUGGUUCCCUGGGCCACAAGGAAGGGUGAGGCCAGGCCCCUGGGUGGGGGACGCAUCUAUCCCAGGAGCCCAGGGACGACAUCUAUCCUUAUGAGGAGGGAGUGUUCAGGUGCAGACUGGCCAGCCAGCUGGCCUAGCUUCUGGAGGAUGGGCCAGUUAUCAGUGUGGCUGGGGGCCCUCUACUUAGAAGUCCCCCUCCCCCUCCACCUGUCUGGAGUGGUGGACAGGACCCAAUGCAUGCCAACCUUCCUCAUUCCCGCUCAGGGGCUGUGGCUUCAAGGCCAUCCCUGCUGUGAUCAGGGCCCUGUCCCUGGGACUUGGUCCUUUACCCCCCUCUGCUGUGUGGGGAGAAGAGCUUCAGAGGAAACUGAGAUAAUGGGGCACCAGCACCAUCUGGGCCUGCUGGAGGAGCUGGUGAGGAGGCUAGAAGGCACCCAGGCCUUUGAAACUAUCAGGAGCUAUAUGGGUGCCCACCUGCAUGUGAAGGGGGGGCAGUACUCAACUUAUUUCAAUAAACACUUAUGAUG
rnacentral:lncRNA from 1 species